CAAUCCUGUCAAAGGUACAUCAGUGUAAGAUUGUUUAUGAAGCAGACAAAAAUCAAGUGACUAUUAAACAAUACAAAUUACCGAUUAGUGUGCGUAUCAUCAUGUAAUGCAAAUAGUGUCCAAAUAGUGUCUUUAGAGCUCGAGGUAGAAUGCAUAAUAACAUUAUUCCUCUUGAAUUUAUUAGAGAAAAGGUGUUUUUUUUUAAAUUCAUCAUCUUUAAUUAAACAUUCUAGUAAAAAUUAUUUAAGAUAAAAUACAUUUUGAAGACUAUUUUGAAGUUCGAAGUGAAAUAUAUUCUCGCUAAAGUGCAAGAAAGUGCACGAAACAAUUGUUUUCAGAGUGCAUUGCGUGUUUGAGUGUGUGUGUAUAAGGUGUAUUUACAGAUUCAUGUGGAUGAAUAAAUACAUUGAAAGACAUGUAAUUCUAUGGGAAAAAAUGACUUAUGAUAAAGGCAAUGAAAUAUGUAAACAUGGUUCCAAACAUUUUAUAGUUGAUAAGAUUUUGAAGGAGAAGGAGAAGAACGGUGCUGAAGGCAAGACGACAAGGCUGUGCUUUUUAAUCGUUCCAUCUAAAAUGUUGAAAUUAAAUCUCAAACGAUCGACAUUGAGAGGGAAAGGAAAAAGAGACGGUGUUGCAGUACCAUCAAUUUUCUCAAUCACACAGACACAACUGAAUCCUAAAUAAUAAAUCAAACCUAGAGCAUGCAGAUUUAAUGGCAUAUAGUGAAGGAUUACAGAUAAGGUGAGAAAGUGAUGUAACGCACUACUUCAGCUAUCACUAAAAAGGAAGGUCAAAAGGUAUACCUUCAAUUGAUCGAAGUUCAUUGUUGUUGAGGUCGAGCAUUUGCACCCAGCGGUAGUCUUUUUGUGUAGAUUCAAUACAUGAAAUUGAUAAAUUAUUGAGGCUAGACAGGAUGUAGUACUGUCAAUAUAUGGUGAUGCCUGCUCUUUGUAGGAACAACGACGUCUUGACAAAACUCACCAGUCAAUGUAACAUGUGAAGAAACCAGAAUGUCAUUCCCUCUUCCUGAUCAAAACAUGGCCAAAGGAGGUUGAGAGUUUCAAUAUGAAAAGUCUCCUUUAUGCACAUGAAACGAAGUAACAAAAAACAAGUGUUGAAGUAUAAACUUUUCAAUAGUUGAUAACAAGAAACUGUAUCACCUUCUGCAAAUAAAACUAAGAUGUGUUGAACCUUGUAGUAAUGAACAUGUGGUGGAUCCAACAUCAUCAGGUCGGUAAAGGUCAAGAACUUCGUCAAGUUGGACCAUCCAUUUUGUUGGCGUGUGGAGAUGUUACAGCAUGUGCCAUAACAAUCUAGCAAGAGUGAGCUUUCCAAUUUUACUGCAAGAACAGAGAAAAUUAAAACGAUAAUGAUGGGAUUUAUAAACAUUGCAAUUUUAUCAGAUGUCUCCGAAGGAAUUGGGAUUGAUAAACAGUUCAAAAAUAUGUGAAAGAAAUAAGAGUGAUCAAUUGGUAUGAUAGACAUUCAAA